AACGUAGGUGGCAAGCGUUAUCCGGAUUUACUGGGCGUAAAGCGUGUGCAGGCGGGGGUACAAGUGGUGUAUGAAAUUUCCCAGCUUAACUGGGAAGGGUUAUGCCAGACUGUACUUCUGGAGUGCGAGAGAGGGGCGUGGAAUUCCGGGUGUAGUGGUGAAAUGCGUAGAGAUCCGGAGGAACCCCGAUGGCGAAGGCAAUCCCCUGGGCCUGCACUGACGCUCAUGCACGAAAGCGUGGGGAGCAAACAGG
rnacentral:rRNA from 1 species